GAUGAACGCUGGCGGCGUGCCUAAUACAUGCAAGUCGAGCGAAUGGAUUAAGAGCUUGCUCUUAUGAAGUUAGCGGCGGACGGGUGAGUAACACGUGGGUAACCUGCCCAUAAGACUGGGAUAACUCCGGGAAACCGGGGCUAAUACCGGAUAACAUUUUGAACCGCAUGGUUCGAAAUUGAAAGGCGGCUUCGGCUGUCACUUAUGGAUGGACCCGCGUCGCAUUAGCUAGUUGGUGAGGUAACGGCUCACCAAGGCAACGAUGCGUAGCCGACCUAGGAGGGUGAUCGGCCACACUGGGACUGAGACCCGGCCCAGACUCCUACGGGAGGCAGCAGUAGGGAAUCUUCCGCAAUGGACGAAAGUCUGACGGAGCAACGCCGCGUGAGUGAUGAAGGCUUUCGGGUCGUAAAACUCUGUUGUUAGGGAAGAACAAGUGCUAGUUGAAUAAGCUGGCACCUUGACGGUACCUAACCAGAAAGCCACGGCUAACUACGUGCCAGCCGCCGCGGUAG
rnacentral:rRNA from 1 species